GGAUGUCUGUGAGGGCCGCCAGGCUCCGUGUGAUGCACAAAGUCUCCCUCAGGGCUGAUCCCGUCGCUCCAGACACCCUGGCAAAGUGCAGAGACCCCGCCACACACAGGAUUUACAUGAAUUCAGGGCGACAUCAAGAUGAAUAAGAAAAGCAAAACGGAGGCUUCUCGGGAAGAGCAGGUGGAGGAGACCCUGCGUCCCCUUGAGGUGCCCCUCUGACAACCACGCAGCACCAGCAGGGGAAGCUUUUAGGGGAACCGGGCUCCUCGCCCUGCAGGUCGCCUGUGGGGAGCAGUGUUUGGAUUGACACGCAGGGUCUCGGUGCUGAGACGGCACCAGGAGGAUGGAGCUGGGAUUUAGAGGGCAUCUGGGAGGGGACAGCGGGCCUGGGACCCCCGUCCACUCACGGUCAGGAGCCCUCGUCCCCAGGCCACCCAGGGGAAGGCUCCCCGCUCUCACCCACACGCUCGCUGCCCGCCAGGCACACACAAGCUCCCUGUGGCCGGCUGGGCCCAGGGACCCCCGCCCGAGUCCUUGGGUCCUCGGCGACACAGAAGCGGUUCUGCGGGAUGUGCUCGGCCUCCUCCCGGUGGCCGGCAACCAGGGCGCAGGGCAGAGGAGUUCCGUGGGCAGUGACCAACUUGACCGUGGGUCUGCUGCCGGGGAGUGACAAGUGACAGGAGACGGUCCCCAAGCUCCCCUCAGCCUGCCACCCGCUGAGGCCCCUUCAGCUCCGUCCCAGAGGCCAACACCUCGCACAGAGCGAGACCCUGGUUGGCUUCAUCCCUUCCUCUUAAAGGCUGACAGGAAAGGGGCCCAGUGACCCUGAGGGGAUCCUCUGGGUAAAAUAGGAAAGAACAGGCAGGAGAGAGCAUUUUUCACUGUUGAAAGCUGAACUAAUGCCUAAGGAGUUCCAAGAAAAUGAGCUAAGGUUUGUUAGAAAAGACUUGGUAAUGACAUUAAUUAAAAUCCCAGCCGAAAAAUCUAUUACCUUAUAGAAACAAAUUCUACAAUUUCUGUUUUAAUAAUACACAAAAAAACACAAAACUUCUGAGAAAGUCUUCUUCAUGUUGAUGUACAUAUCAGUUUCAUCGUGUGUUAUUCCUAAACAGACUUUUUAAAAAAGAUUUUUUAAACAAACCCUGAAUAGUGUAUCCCUAUGUAGAAAGCAAAGAAAACACACUUACGUUUAGAAAGAACAUGAAAGCGACUCUGGGCCCACUGCCUGGGGGCGCCCAGCCUUUUCGUCUGUGGACCAGACUUGUGGGCACCAACAGCCAGGGCUCCCUCGGCGGCACUGUCCGCCCGGCGCUCCUUGGGGGCAAGGUCGGUCCUAGGACUGGUUAGUGCGGGUCCAGCUGGUGGGCAGUUAGUAAUCCGGGCAUCGCCUUCCCCUCUCUGCCCCCUUGCCUGGGCCGUGAGUUUCAAGUGACCUCGAGACAAGAUGGGUCAGGAACGUAGCCCACACUGGCCUGAGACUGGGGUGAGGAUGCCCUUUCUAGGGUGAACCCCCUGGGCCCGGGGCUUCUUUGUUACCGAGUGUAGGCCCUAGACCAGUAGCUCUCCACGGCGGCUCUGGGUCCGUGAGCUUGGAGAAAUGCACAUCCCUCGGCCUCGCCCCAGCCCUGGGGCUGCGAUCACGGUGUGGGGUGAGGAGGUGUCUGUGUUUCCAGAAACCCCGCAGGUGACCCCAUGUGCGCUCCGCUAGACUUACUGACCAACGAUGACCUACAGACCCUGGCGACACGUGCAUGAUUUCCUUACACAACUGGAAUCAUUUGAUAUACUGGUGUGUAACUUUCUAAGCCCAAAUCACAAUUACAGCGUCAUUCAUGCUGAAUGCAUCACAUUCCAAGGUAAAAAUAUGCCAUUUCCUUCUUAUUUAACAAAGCGCCCUCCUUCCUCCCGCCCCACACCCCCUUUCUUCUCAGCCUGGGGUCCCUGUGGCUCUUGGGUUUGGGUUCCAGACCCUCCGAAUAUGUGGCUGCAGUUCCUCCCCAGGGCUCUGUGCGAUGCCCAGAGCCUGCAGGUGCGCGGAUUCUGUCCUUCGCACGUGGCUUUCUAUUACAGGCAACUGACCGGGCGCAGACGGCCGCUCGCCGCUGCUGCGGGGGAAGCGGCUGUGGUAGAGGCACCGCGGUCAGCAGGUGAGAUCUGGAGAAGUCGGCAGGCGCUGCGGUGGCCGCCUGCGCGGCCGAGCCGCGGACCCCGCCACGAGCGUCACGAGCCCCACCGCACUGCGGGCGGACCCCGAGGGUGCCCAGAGCACACGAACGUCCCCGAGGGACCGGGGAGGCCCGCCUGCACGUCAACCUCGAACUCUCCGCACAGAGACCUCGCAUACAAGCUAAGCGUACCCAGCUCAAGAAAGCAGCACAUCGUAGACAAAAUUAAACAUCAUAAAUCAGAUUUUUACUGUUACGAGGCCUAACUGCCUCACUGUGCCUCUAACUGCUCCGCCCUGAAAUAAUCAGCUGGUUUGCCACCAAAUGGAGGUUCCCAGCCUUUUCAACAUCCAGCGUUCUUUUAGGUACGGCACCCUCAAGAGCCUCAAGACUUUAAAAUACUUUGUGUAUCAAAUCAAACUUAUGAAAGAAAAUUUUCAUUUACUUUCCUAUCUAAUUCAUGAGAUAUGACAGCUAAGUGGAACUUCUGAGCUGCAGGAGACAAUAUUUUGAUCAUGUUGUUAUUAAUCAAAAGCUGACAGUUCUGGAUAACUUGUGUAAACUUACCGUGAUUUCCUUUAGGCUUUUUCAAGUGUUAGAAAUAGCUUGCAGACCCUUCCCUCGGUAACUUCGAGACCACAGGACGCGGGCAACAUGACCCUGACCCUUUAUCCCUUCUCCUCCCUGUGGGUUCAGUCAGGUGACCCCCCUCUUGGAGCGAAGCUGAUUCAUGAACAUGGGUUUAAGAAUGCAGAGCUCUGGGGCUUCCCUGGUGGCGCAGUGGUUGAGAGUCCGCCUGCCGAUGCAGGGGACGCGGGUUCGUGCCCCGGUCCGGGAAGAUCCCACAUGCCGCGGAGCGGCCGGGCCCGUGAGCCGUGGCCGCUGAGCCUGUGCGUCCGGAGCCUGUGCUCCGCGACGGGAGAGGCCACGACAGUGAGAGGCCCGCGUACCGC
rnacentral:lncRNA from 1 species